CCAGAUCCAACUCCCAUUGGAAUAGCUCACGUCUCCAAUGGAAGUUCCAAACCCACUCAAACUCAUCCCAGAACCCACAGUCCCCUAUGACAGAUCCUUUUUGGGUUGAAACCGAGAAUAGCCUUGGAAACCUAUCCUUUAGAGGUCCACACCUGAGCUAGAUAUCUUCCCAAAAGUGAGUCCUUAUGCCAUCACCAACCUCCAUAGACAAGUCAGUUAUCAUCUUGUCUCUUAUAUGUUGCUCCUUAAUCUGCAGCUGACAUAUGUCUUUCCAUGGACCCCCUUUAGCAGGUAAUGUCUGG
rnacentral:lncRNA from 1 species